rfam:Xylona heveae TC161 unplaced genomic scaffold L228scaffold_2, whole genome shotgun sequence.
GCCCGGGUGGCACAAUUGGUUAGCGCGUGAGACUUUUAAGAACUCUCCUCUUUGGAGAGUUACUAAGGAAUCUCAAGGUUGCGAGUUCGAUCCUCGCCUCGGGCG